AGAUGAGAAGAUGGGACCAACCUACAACCACAGAAUGAGGAAUUAUAGAUGGAGCAUCAUUCUGAUCCUGACUCUCCAUACAGAUGUUACUCAGAGGUGCAGUUUCUGAUGGAGUUCCUGAUGUUUUAUAGACAAACCCACAGAGCAGGAGAUCCACUCAGACUCCGAGGGAGACACAAUCAGCCACGAGGACACAUCCACAACCCCUUCAGAACCUGAGAAAAAAGGUGAUUGACGGCUCAGGAAGCCACCCAUGUGACUGACAGCUAACGUUUAUCUGUCCUCCUCCUGCUCCAGUUAAAGAGAGAACAGGAGUGGAUCCCACCACUGAGAGAGAGAGACAGAGAGAGAGAGAGAGAAAGACAGAGAGAGAGAGACAGAGAGAGAGAGAGAGACAGAGAGAGAGAGAGAGAGAGAGACAGAGACAGAGAGAGAGAGAGAGAGAGAGAGACAGAGAGAGAGAGAGAGAGAGAGAGAGAGACAGAGACAGAAAGAGAGAGAGAGAGAGAGAGACAGAGAGAGAGAGAGAGAGAGACAGAGACAGAGAGAGAGAGAGAGCGAGAGAGAGAGAGAGAGAGAGAAAGACAGAGACAGAGAGAGAGAGAGCGAGAGAGAGAGAGAGAGAGAGAGCGAGAGAGAGAGAGAGAGAGAGACAGAGACAGAGAGAGAGAGAGAGAGAGAGAGAGAGCGAGAGAGAGAGAGAGAGAGAGAGACAGAGACAGAGAGAGCGAGAGAGAGAGAGAGAGAGAGAGAGAGAGCGAGAGAGAGAGAGAGAGAGACAGAGCGAGAGAGAGAGAGAGAGAGAGAGAGAGACAGAGCGAGAGAGAGAGAGAGAGAGAGACAGAGACAGAGAGAGAGAGAGAGAGAGAGAGAGAUACCACAGUUAGAUCCAUCACGAGCGUUUCAUUUGUUAAAUGAAAGGAUGCUCUAAGCGUUACCUCUCACUGUGAGGGACACCGUGGCCUUGUCGUACCAGUUAUCACUGCUCACAUGGCACACGUAUUCUCCUCUAUCUGCUAGCGUCAGGUUCUCCAGCUUCAGAGAGACAUCUCCUUUCUCCAGUUCUCCUAACAGGAACACUCUGCGCUGGUACUGAACAUCUACAGGACUCUGGAUCUGUGUGUUCUUGUAGGACAGGAUCGGGGUGUUUUGCAUUUUGGGAUGGUACCAGCUCACUUCCAGGUUUCGAGCAUCCAUGUUGUUUACAAGAGCACAGUGUAGAGACACAGAGGAACCAAGGAACCCUGAGGCUGGAGACUGAACCUUCACUGAAAAUGUUCCUGAAGGAGAAUUUGGGCCAUAAAUCAGCAACAUCUCAAUUAAAAUCCUGCUGAAGAGCUUUUAUCAGAACAGUUAUGUCUAUACAUGUCUAUAAAACCAUGUAAGAUGAUGGUGAUGUUUAACAUGUAAUAAAUAAUCAGACUGACCAGACGUCUGAUGGCUGAGAGUCGGAAAGAGAAUCAGUAAAACCCAUCUCAGUGGUGGAGCUGUUAACAGAAGAAGAAGUGAAAACAUUUUACAUGUGAAAUGAGACACUGGACCACCCACAUUACUCAGGAGUUCCUCCGCGGAUCGGAUCACUGCAGACGAGUCUGAUAUAAACACCGGAUCGGAUCACUGCAGACGAGUCUGAUAUAAACACC